AAUGCAUUGCAUGGCAGGUAGUUUGCUGGUAAAUUGGUAACAGCAGCCUAUGUACCUCUUCCAACUUACCACAACCUCUUCCCUGAUUCUAUGACAGCAACACAACUACUGGUUCCAAGUAGACGAUGAAGGAAGAUAUAGUUCCUUAUGUACAUAGCUUCCUUUUUUUUCCCUUGAGAAUUCAUCUUGAGUUAUCUUUUAUUUAGAUAAAAAUAAAGAGUCAAAGGUCUACUGUCAUUUGUAUACAAUUCCUUACCUUGAAAAACUAAAAAUGUUAACCGGAAAAAAAAAAAUCAAUAGAAAGCAUAACCAACAGA
rnacentral:lncRNA from 1 species